GGACUACUGGGGUAUCUAAUCCUGUUCGCUCCCCUAGCUUUCGCACCUGAGCGUCAGUUACCAGCCAGGACACUGCCUUCGCCUUUGGUAUUCCUCCGGAUCUCUACGCAUUUCACCACUCCACCCGGAAUUCUAUGUCCCUCUCUGGUCCUCAAGUCUCCCAGUUUCCACAGACCUUUCACGGUGAAGCCGUGAACUGUCACUGCGGACUUGGCAAACCGCCUGCGUGCCCUUUACGCCCAAUAAAUCCGGACAACGCUCGCCCCCUACGUAUUACCGCGGCUGCUGGCAC
rnacentral:rRNA from 1 species